CUUUACUAUAGCUUUGCAUUGACUUCGGGCAUGGGAUGUGUAGGAUAGGUGGGAGGCUGUGAAGUGGUGUCGCUAGGCAUCGUGGAGCCAACGUUGAAAUACCACCCUUCUGAUGGUUGGAGUCUAAUCCCUUUGGGGAGACAUUGCAUGGUGGGUAGUUUGACUGGGGUGGUCGCCUCCAAAAGAGUAACGGAGGCUUUCAAAGGUACCCUCAGCACGCUUGGUAACCGUGCGUAGAGUGCAAUCGCAAAAGGGUGCUUGACUGCAAGACCUACAAGUCGAGCAGGUACGAAAGUAGGAGAUAGUGAUCCGGUGGUUUCCGUAUGGAAGGGCCAUCGCUCAUAGGAUAAAAGGUA
rnacentral:rRNA from 1 species